rnacentral:tRNA from 2 species
GGCCCUGUAGUUUAAUGGAUAAAAUAAAGGAUUCCGGUUCCUUAGCUGUGGGUUCGAUUCCCGCCAGGGUCACAA